CUACGGGGUGCUGCAGUGGGGAAUAUUGCACAAUGGAGGAAACUCUGAUGCAGCAACGCCGCGUGGAGGAUGACACUUUUCGGAGCGUAAACUCCUUUUAUAUAGGAAGAAGAUGACGGUACUAUAUGAAUAAGCGCCGGCUAACUCCGUGCCAGCAGCCGCGGUAAUACGGAGGGCGCAAGCGCUACUCGGAAUCACUGGGCGUAAAGAGCGUGUAGGCGGAUUAAAAAGUCAGAAGUGAAAUCCUAUAGCUUAACUAUAGAACUGCUUCUGAAACUCUUAAUCUAGAAUGUGGGAGAGGUAGAUGGAAUUUCUGGUGUAGGGGUAAAAUCCGUAGAGAUCAGAAGGAAUACCGAUUGCGAAGGCGAUCUACUAGAACAUUAUUGACGCUGAGACGCGAAAGCGUGGGGAGCAAACAGGAUUAGAUACCCUCGUAGUC
rnacentral:rRNA from 1 species